rnacentral:lncRNA from 1 species
GAUGUGUUUUCUCGCAUACUAAAUAUCAAAGUUGAUGAUGAGAUUUUUCCAUCUUCAAGCUUUGAAAGAUCCAAUCAAGAACUCGUGAUGACAAGUUCUCGUUUAGAAGACAUGGGUUUAGUUCAUAAUAAAAAAGACGAAGAGGUGGAGCCCUGUUCAUUAAUUUGAUGAGAACCAAGUUAGUAGAUUAAGAAAUGACUACUAUGGAGCAGCAAAGGCGCGGCAGAAGCAAGCAGAAACUCACCGCAAAGUACGUCAGAAGAAAUUCCAGAAGCACUAAUAAUAGAUCUUUAUAAUUAAGUAGCUUAAGAUAAACAAAUUAACAAGGAGUGUGUGUGUGAAGCUAAGAAGAAAGAAUGGGAAGAGAGACUAGGUUUAUUUCAUGGAUUUGGUUUUUUUCAUGGAUACGUCCGUUACGGGGGCGCAACAUUGGCUUGCUUGAUCAACUAUAUGCAAUCCUAUCAAUAGUACUCAUGGACAAAGAUGGAGAGGAUAGACUAAUUUGGAAGGACAAUAAUUCAGGAAGAUUUUCAGUGAAAUCUCUCUGCGGAUUGUUGAGUCCAAAGCCUUCCACAAACAAUGCCUUCUCGUUUGCUGGAUUUUGGAAAGGUAUUGUCCCUCCUAAGGUAGAGAUCUUUUGCUGGAUGGCUAUCAUUAACAGACUCAACACCCGAUGUAUGUUGGUUCGAAGAGGUAUCUUGAGUAGCUCGGAAUCAAAUUGCCCUAUCUGCCUUGUUGAAGCAGAAUCGGUGGACCAUAUUCUGCUUCACUGCCAUAGGCAUUGGCUCAUUUGGUCCAAAAUCAUUAAAUGGUGGGGUUUAGUUUGGUGUUGCCCAAAGAGCUUCUCAGAUAUGUGGUCUCAAUGGUCUUCCAUGGUGCAUGGUAAUUUUCAAAGGAAGGCAUGGUUGAUGUUGUUCUUCUCAGUGGCAUGGUCUCUUUGGCUCCUUCGAAAUGAUCUCAUUUUCCAACAGAAGACACCUGAUUAUGACUCAAUUUUUUUUCUUAUUAUCACCCGUCUAUGUCUUUGGCUAAAAGCUAUCCAUUCAGAUUUUCCAUACUCCCCUACAGAUCUGAUCAGAUCGGCAGAUGGCUUGCUUCGGUGGUCCAAUGCUCACUCUUUCAGGAUUAAAAAUAUAUGGUCUCCUCCUAUGAUUAAUAGGCUCAAAUGGAAUGUGGAUGGCUCUUCUCUUGGUAAGCCAGGCCCCUCUGGAAUAGGUGGUGUGCUGUGAAAUCAUCAUGGCCAUGUGCUCGGUAUGUUCUCUGUUCCAGUUGGUAUUUUAGACUCUAAUAUUGCUGAGUUAAGGGCUAUUGUGAAAGCCAUUGAUCUAUCAGCAUCUAAUUGUCGUUUACACCAUCAACACCUCAUCAUUGAAUCUGACUCUGUCAAUGUUAUUCGCUGGAUGAAUAAUCCUCUCAGUCGUCCCUGGAAGCAUCAUAAUUUGUUCUCCUAUGUUAAUAGACUGAAAGCAUAUUUUGGUUCAAUCACCUUCUCUCAUAUCUUUCGUGAAAGUAAUUGCAUGGCAGAUGGCUUGGCUAAACAAUGAGUGCGGAGAUCAAGUGAAUUUGUUGCCCGGCUUUGAAUCCACCAUUUUUCUAUGGGCUUGCUAUUGUUUCUUCUCCCAUUAUGUCUUUGAGUAUUUUCUAUUUUGUUUUGUUGAGGAAUGUUUAGCUUCACCUCAUUUGGAUGGAUUUUGUAUGGUUUUCUUUGCUUUGGUUUAUCUUAAGUUGCGCUUUAUCCUUCAUAUGACUUUAUGUCAUAUUAAGAUAUUGUGUAACUUUUGUACUAUUCCCGUCAGACUUUGACGCUUAUAUAAUAUACACAUCUUUCAAAAAAACAAAAAACUAGGUUUAUUUCCAGGGCUUUGAGUUAGAGAGCAUAUAUUUAAUACAUUUAAGUUACAAAUUAAGUAACAAAAGGAAACUUAUUCAUCGUGGGGAACUUCAUAUUCUUCUGAUGAAAUGAUGAUGGGUGUGGAUUCGAGAUCAAAUAGCUGUCUUAAGUUAUAUGGAGCUGCGAUACUUGGUUUGCCAUUCCAAAACAGAUCAGCUAGAAUCCGAUAACCAUGCUCAGUAGGAUGCCAUCCAUCGAAGAACAGAUAUUCACUUGGAUUUUUGCAUAGCGUAUAUGGCUCUAUUCCACAAUGUGCUGCGUUAUACAUUCCAUGGCCACAACAAGAAUAUCUUGAUUCCUUGAAGCCUUCCCAACACGAACAACAAAGACGAGAUUGAAAACAAAAGAGAAACACCAAAUUAUUAACUUGUCAACCUGCUUACAUCUACAAUAUGAUGAUACAGAUUGUUUUAAAAUCAUAGUUUUAAAACCUUGUUUGAUUGGUGGAUUUGGUGAUUCUUUACCUAACUUGAACUGGGUUCAUGUCAAAUUAUUAUUUUUUAUUAUUAUUAUUAUUAAAACAACCCCAUUUUAGAGUUAGAAAAACAACUUGGUUUCAAAAAAAAAAAUUAAAAAUCAAAAUCAAUGCCUACCUAUUAGCCUAAGGAUCAAAUCAUCUAACCCGCGACUUAAACCUUGGAUUAGAUUAGAAGCCUGACCGGGUUGAGUCAUGUAGCUAUACUUAAAAAGAGACUAAUCAAUGUAAACUUUUUAGUGUGUCUCAUGAUGUGGCAUUGUAACACUCGAGCAUUACCAAACGAUAAAGAGAGGAAGACAAUGUGUAGCUUGCUCUGCUUCCUCACUCAAACCCUAAUAUAUUUAUCAAAAUCUAUGUACUUACCGUAAGCCUUUGGGUCCUUUAUCAUAUCAAAAAGGAUAGUGUAGAAGUCUAGAAUUGAGUAUUUGAAUCCUGAAAGUUUGCUUUCCAAUUCCUUGAUGGCUUUAGAUGCAGCACUGUUAUGCUUCUUUAUCAUCUCCAAUGAUGCUUCUUCGCAUUCAUCACCACAGAGUUCUUUGCUUUGUCUUAUGGCUGGUAGGCAACCUCUUGGCCCUACAUUUAAAAUAGCAAAUUUCCUUGCUCCAAAAGUGUACAAUUCCUGCAAAUGCCGACAAUGAAAAAUAAAAUAGAAUGAAGUAGCUCAAUAUGUAAAUAAUUACUUGUUAAAUUGUACACACAAUACACGUGUAUGAGUGAAAUAGAUUUUUUGCAACAAAUAAAUAACACGAAAAAAAAUUCAACUAAAAAACUUCAUAUGAUAAAAAAAAAUUAAAAUCCUAUAAAUAAAUCAACUAAAAAUUUAUCUUAUAUGAAAAAAAAUAAUCCCACAACAACAUUCAUACAAUUAUUAGGAACAAAAACAAUUUAAAAUAACAUAAAAAAACAAAUAUAAUGAAAAAAAAGAAAAAAAUCUUACUUUAAUGUAGUUGCAAGUGAAGCUAAGAAGAGAAAAGAAAAUCAUAAAGUAUACAGAUUAAAAAUAAUUGAGAAGAAAAAAGAAGAUAGGAGAAGAAGACAUACUUGAGCAUGGAGGAAAAGAGAAGUAGUUGAGGAGAAAAGAGAAGAAAAAAAAAUGGAUAUUGAUUUUUUUUACAUAUGAAGAAGAAGAAGAAGAAGAAGAAAGGAGACGGGUAUGUUGUGAAAUUAGGGAUUUGAGGCUUUUUAUUGGGGCAUUUUACCGACAGAUAAUUAAAUAUUAAUAUUUUUAAUCAUUCCGUCAAUGAUUCUAUCUGUAAUAUUUAAUUAAAAUUUUUAAUUUAAUAAAAACAUUUCAGAAACCUCCAAAUAUCACUGACGACUUUCAAUCUGUCGGUGAUUCCGGCUAUAAUAUUUAAUUUUAAAUUUUAAAUUAAUCUAAUUUUUUAAGAAAACCAUCAAAUAACACCGACGACUUUUCAAUCCAUCAGUGAUUUUAUUUGUAAAGAACAAUAAUUAACAGUGCAAUUGAAAAUGAAUAGUUCCAGAGCUUUCUAGAAAAUACCAACGGAAUUUUCAAUCGGUGAUUCCCUUUGUAAUUGACAUGAUGAACAGUGUUCACACUUCACAAUUUACUGACAGAAUAAAAUUCAUCGGUAAUUAUGUUGGUAAAAAAAACACGUCAUCGUUUUUUCUGCUUUGUUUUAUUAUUUUUUCCCAUUAUAAUUUUCUCGGUAUAUACCGAGAGAAUAUUUCUGUCAGUAAAAUCCAUCAAUAAAUUACCGAGGGAAAUGUUUCAUCGGUAUUUCUAUUUAUAUUUAUCAAUUUUCUAGUAAUGAUAAAUUGAUUUGCCGGAUCAGUUAGAUUUGACGUGGUUAAUUUUCAUCAACUUGAUUCAAGUUUUUAAUCAACUAAUGAAUAAUAGGUCAAUCAACUAAGCUAGGUUUAGUAACUCCUUGUACAAGCACACACUACUGUUUAUAAGAAAUUUUAUUGAUAUUACCUUUACAAAAUCUGUCAAGUUACCCACCAAAUUCUUCACAAAUUCAUCUUGCUCCAGCUGAGUAGCUUUAGGGUAAUUAUCAACAAAAUAAGAGUAAUCAUUGCCUCCAACACAAGUCGCAUAGACUGCUUGGCUCAGCCGUUUAUUUGCCUCCUUGUCCCCAAGCUGCUCCUCCAUCGAAUUGGCCACGUUCUUGAAGUUGCUCAGUUGCAUGCCAAGACUAAUCUGGGGAUGAGGAAAUGGUAAGAUUUUGAAGCACUGAAGUACAUCAACCUUAGCUAUUUCCCGUGAAGUACUUUUUUGAUAUAGUAUUAGAUAAUAAUAUAAAUUAUAUCUUGAAAUUUUUUUUGAUAAUUUAAGUUAUUAGAUUGAGAUAAUUAUUUGAUAUAGUAUUAGAGCUUUGAUGAUCAAGCAGUCAUAAAUUUAAAUCUCAUCAUCCCUAUUUAUUUGAUAAAAAUUAAAUAUAAAGUAAUGCAGGCAUGUGCAAGUUUCAAGCCCAAAUGACUUUUACUUGAGAGGAUAUGUUAAAGAAUAAUAUAAAUCAUAUCCUAAAACUUCACAUAAUUUUUUAAAUUAUUAAUUUAAAUUAUUGAAUUGAGAUAAUUUUUUAAUAAUCACGUACCACUAUAGGAUCAGUUUCAGAAAAGACACCAGCUCCACCACUUGCGAAAUUUACUCCAUUAGUGAAAUUAAUACCAGGUUGUAAAUAUGGGGGGACGAACGGUUGACCUAUCUCUGUUGCUGCAUGUAAUCAUCCAUUAGAAAGAAAAAUUAAAUUAACCCAAAAACUUAACAACAAUUUCGAAAAAUGAUUCAUAUUAUAUUUUUCCAAUACUUACCGAUGAAGUCGACAAUGAGACGGCCAUCGGUGAAUCUCCCAGUAGGAAAGUGGAAGAAGGUUUCUCCAUAUGGCCAAUAAUUUGCUCUAUCCGAAACGCUGAGAUUGAUAUAGUUAUCGUUUCCUGCAUCAAAGAUUGAAUCUCCAAAUAUGAACAUGGCAACAUGUCUUUUUGGCUGUCUAGAGUGAUCACAGAGGGAGAUUUCUGGGAUGAGAAGGCUGGCAAGGAAAUUGAGCAGAAGAAAAUUGAAGGUUAAUUUUGAUGCAGCCAUUACUUAUCUGUUCCCAAUGUCGCUUCGCUCUUCUCUUUCACUUAGUUAUAUGGUGGUCACACAAUAACCUUGAAUGUGGACAACUUAUAAUCUCAAAAAAAAAAAAAAAGGGGGCUUGGAAUGUGGACAGAUGAAAUAAAAGCUUUAUUAAAUUUCUUUUAAUUUUAAUAUAUAAAGAUGCGUUAUUUUAAAUUAUCCAAGAAAAGAUUUGAUCUUAAUCAAAACUCAAACUGAUUUAAAUAAAAAAUAAUUGUUUUUUUUUUUUAAAUGGAUAAGUUAAAGUUUUAAACUACCUCCUCAGACCUCUUAGAUGAUGAAAGAUGAUAAACAACUCUGAUUUGGACACUUCGGACACGUUACAGCAAUUCAGACAGUAAGUCAAAGGCUAGUUAGUUGAAUCUUUAUGAAUUUAUACAACUGAAGGUAUCGAUAUUUAUUUUUUAUAAACUACAAUUAAAAAUAUUUUUUAAAAAUCAUAAAUAUGAAGAGAUGAUGUCAUGGAGGAGUGAUUACAAUUCGCAUCCGCUGGUCAAAGAAUUUGCUUUAAGAAGAAAGUCGAGAAAGUCGUCAAGGAUCCUUAUUCACAUUUAUCACCACGGAGUUCUUUCCUUAGUCUUAUAUAUGGCUGGUAGGCAACCUCUUGGCCCUCCAUUUAAAAUAGCAAAUUCUGUUGCUCCCACAUUGAGCAAUUCCUGUAAAUGCGAUAAGAAAAAAAAUAUUAUAGUCGCUCAAUAUGGAAAUAAUUUACUUAUUAAAUUUUACACACAAUAAUAUAUAAAUAUAUUAAAUCUACUCGUGACCCGAUUCAAGAUUUAAUUUAUGGAUUAAAUAAGUUGGUCUAAAUUAAUCCAAAAUAAUCUAAUUUUAUUUAUAAAAAAUGAUAUUUACUCAAAACAAUUCAAGCAAAACAAGUUUUUUUGAAUUAUUACAACUCAGUUAAGAGUUGCAGCAAUUCUGAUUGAUAAAUAAAGGAAGUAGCUGCAUCUUCCCUUCCAUUUCUUUCAAAUGAUCAUCAACUAGCCAUUCCACCAUCUAAAGUCCUACCAGUCAAAGGUAAUAAACCAUAGGCUAGUUGGUUGAAUCUUUAGACUAGAUAAUGCCAAAUACAUUAUUUAACUGAAUAGAUUGUUAACUGGAUAUCUUUUUGAGUGCAGUGAUGUGUAUUAUAUUAAUAGAUCAGUGUGUGUUUUAUAUAUGUUAUUUUAAAAACAAAAUUCAUGUUUCAAAAGAUUAAAGUCAUGUAUCUCUAAGCUCAGUCACACUAUGAGUUCAAAUACAUGUAGUUCUGGAAAGCUGCGGGCCACACACAACAUCCUCGAGCUCUGUUAUACAUUAAGCCUAAUUACGUUAAUCCAAUUAUUUUUUUCAUCUUAAAGGCGCGAUUCUGAGUGGCUGAAAAGAAGUGAUGUAGAAGAAGUAUCUUUUCACCUAUGGGUAUCGACAAAAUAGAAGAGCUUAUCAUUGACGUAGAUGGUCUCUCAUACCGGAUUAGGAAACUAGAGGGCUGCCAUGUUUUGAUUACUUUCAACACAGUGGAUGAUAUGUUAUUAUCAUUGCUGGGAUUGGUUCGAAUCUCCAAGGCCUUAAUUAGAGCUACUCAGAUCAGGGCUUUGAAAGAUGUUUGCUUAAUCCAUGUAUGGGAUAUAAAUUUCUUUGAGAAAGUUUGUUCUUCUUUUGGCAGACUUAGUCACCUUGACAAAGCCACUGCUGAAAAGCAAAGAUUAAAUUCCAGUGAUGUGUUUUCUCGCAUACUAAAUAUCAAAGUUGAUGAUGGGAUUUUUCCAUAUUCAAGCUUUGAAAGAUCCAAUCAAGAACUCGUGAUGACAAGUUCUGGUUCAGAAGACAUGGGUUUAGUUCAUAAUAAAAACGACGAAGAGGUGGUGCCCUGCUCAUUAAUUUGAUGAGAACCAAGUUAGUAUAUUAAGAAAUGACCACUAUAGAGCAGCAAAGGCCCGGCAGAAGCAAGCAGAAACUCCCCGCAAAGUCACGUCAGAAGAAAUUCCAGAAGCAGGGUCAGUGGAACGAGUCCUUGUGGAAGGAUUUGAAGCAUCGUUAAAUCGGCAACCAGAGGCAGAUUCCAAGCAGCAACUCCAGAUUCCAGGCAGACUACAGACGCGAAUAGAUGCGAACAUCUUUGCUUGUGGUCGGUCAAGGAAGAUGGUAUCUAUUUUAGCAAUGAUUCAGAAAAGUGGAAUCGGGAGUGUCAAGUGGUAAAGGAAGUUUUCUAAUUCAAUAAAUAAUCAUAAAUAAUAA